rnacentral:rRNA from 1 species
CCUACGGGAGGCAGCAGUGAGGAAUAUUGGUCAAUGGACGAGAGUCUGAACCAGCCAAGUAGCGUGAAGGAUGACUGCCCUAUGGGUUGUAAACUUCUUUUAUAUGGGAAUAAAACAGGGUAUGCAUACCCUCUUGUAUGGACCAUAUGAAUAAGGAUCGGCUAACUCCGUGCCAGCAGCCGCGGUAAUACGGAGGAUCCGAGCGUUAUCCGGAGUUAUUGGGUUUAAAGGGAGCGUAGGUGGAUUGUUAAGUCAGUUGUGAAAGUUUGCGGCUCAACCGUAAAAUUGCAGUUGAAACUGGCAGUCGUGAGUACAGUAGAGGUGGGCGGAAGUCGUGGUGUAGCGGUGAAAUGCUUAGAUAUCACGAAGAACUCCGAUUGCGAAGGCAGCUCACUGGACUGCAACUGACACUGAUGCUCGAAAGUGUGGGUAUCAAACAGGAUUAGAUACCCGAGUAGUC